rnacentral:rRNA from 1 species
CCUACGGGUGGCAGCAGUGAGGAAUAUUGGUCAAUGGGCGCGAGCCUGAACCAGCCAAGUAGCGUGAAGGGUGACUGCCCUACGGGUUGUAACCUUCUUUUAUAAAGGAAUAAAGUGAGGCACGUGUGCCUUUUUGUAUGUACUUUAUGAAUUAGGAUAGGCUAACUCCGUGCCAGCAGCCGCGGUAAUACGGAGGAUCCGAGCGUUAUCCGGAUUUAUUGGGUUGAAAGGGAGCGGAGAUGGGUUGUUAAGUCAGUUGUGAAAGGUUGCGGCUCAACCGGAAAAUUGCAAUUGAUACUGGCAGUCUUGAGUACAGUUGAGGUAGGCGGAAUUCGUGGUGUAGCGGUGAAAUGCUUAGAUAUCACGAAGAACUCCGAUUGCGAAGGCAGCUUACUAAACUGCCACUGACAUUGAUGCUCGAAAGUGUGGGUAUCAAACAGGAUUAGAUACCCUUGUAGUC